AUUGAACGCUGGCGGCAGGCCUAAUACAUGCAAGUCGAACGAGUGGCGGACGGGUGAGUAAUGCGUGGGAACCUAGCUUACGGAGGGGGAUAACUACGGGAAACCGUAGCUAAUACCGCUAACCACACGUUGAGCCCUAGCGGGAUUAGGUAGUUGGUGAGGUAAAGGCGCACAAAGGCGACGAUCGAUAGCUGGUCUGAGAGGAGGACCAGCCACACUGGGACUGAGACACGGCCCAGACUCCUACGGGAGGCAGCAGUAGGGAAGAUUGCGCAAUGGGGGCAACCUGACGCAGCCAUGCCGCGUGAAUGAAGAAGGCCUUCGGGUUGUAAAGUUCUGUCGGUAGCGAGGCGUUAACUACAGAGGAAGCACCGGCUAACUCCGUGCCAGCAGCCGCGGUAAUAC
rnacentral:rRNA from 1 species